GGCGGCCGACGACGCAACGCUAAGAGUCCAACACUAGAGCACUUGCGAGCUUCCGCCCGAUUUUAUUGUUGAGUCGUUUAGUUUUGUGAACGUUGAGGAAGUUAUCGGAUUGAGAUAACUAACCGAGUUGUUGCUUUUCAGGAGCAAUGUCCCCAAGGCGUUAUGCGCGUAGGUCUGCUCCGGUACCGCCUUCUGCGGAGCCCGAGCAGCCAAGAUCGGAGGAGGUGCAGGAGCUGCGGGAGCAGGUCGCUGCAAUGUUGGGCGCGAUGCAGCGCCAGGAGGCUCGGUUCGAGCAGCUCCAGGAAGUUGUGGAGCGGCAAGCGGCAGCGGCGGCGGCCGCGACGGCGGCAGGAGAUCGCGAUCCGCCCGCACCUUCGGCACGCACGCCGGUAGCGGCCGAGGGUGAGGGCAUAGCGGCGGUUCCGAUGGCGGCGGUUCCCCCGCCGACAAGUGCGCCUCCGACAGCUUCGGGUUCGGCGACGCUUGAUACGACGGCCGAUGAAGUGGAGCGGGAGCGUGCGCUAACGGCUUUAAUGAGGUUUAUGAAGUUUAAGCCACCAACUUUUGAAGGGGGGAAAGUGGAGCCGUCGGUGGUAGAGUCUUGGGUAGACUCUAUGGAGACUCUCUUCGAGGACCUAUAUACCUCGGAGAAAGAUAAGGUGCCUUUCGCCACCCAUUGCCUCGACAAGGCGGCGAAGGUGUGGUGGAAGCGGUUGAAGCGGGAUCGACCCUCUGAUCUUCCGCCAAUGCUCUGGGAGGAGUUCAAGAAGGAGAUGUUCGGAAACUACUUCCCCGACACCGAGAAGCGGAAGUUGAAGGAGAGGUUUCGCAAGUUGAGGCAGGGAGAUCGCUCGGUGGCGGACUACGAGCAGGAGUUCUCCCACAUUAUAGACUGCGUCCCGGACGUGGUCAAGGACGACGCGGAUCGAGCCGAGUGGUUCUUGCGAGGACUUCGGCCAUGGAUAUAUAGAGCGGUGCAGCUAUUCCAGCUCACAACUUUCGCCGAGGUCUUCAACAAGGCGCUGUGGGCAGAGCAUGGAGAUGCCCAUGUGCGGGAGGAGCGUGAGUUGUUGGCCGGAUCCCAAGACAAGGGGAAGAAGCGAUCGGGCGGCGGUUCGGGUGGACAGUCGAGUUCGAGGAGGCCCCCGAAGCAUCCGCGGUCGCAGUCGUGGGGCCGUGGGCCGCGGCGUUGCCCUAUUUGUGGAGAUCGAGGCCAUCGGGCACCGCAGUGUAGUCAACGACAAGGACGGUGCUUUAACUGCGGACAAGAAGGACAUAUUAGCCGUGACUGUCCGGCAAGGGCCUCGUCUACUCCGUCGGUCGCAUCGGCUCCAGCGCCCCCGCCUUAUCAGGGAGGGGCCCCCUAUGUUCCCGUGUCAGCAGGACGCGCAUUGGCGCCGCGCCAGCCGGAGGUGACUCGAUCAGCGCCGAGCGGACGGGUAUUCGCCGCUCAGGCCCAAGCCGAGGAGCCUGCCCUAGCCGAGGAGCCUGAUGUUGUGGCAGGUAUGGUUCUAAUCAAUGGAGUUCGCUCCAGAGCUAUGUUCGAUACGGGUGCCACGCAUUCAUUUAUUAGUAGAGCAUUUGCACGCAUGCAUGACAUACCCAUAGAAGCAAGUGGCAAGUGGCGAGUCGAGGGUCCCGAGUUAUCAUUUAACACCUAUACGGAGUGCUCGUCGUGUCCGGUGCAAGUGGGUGAUUGGAUAAUGCCCAUUCGGAUGUUGGAACUCACUAAACUGGAGGCGUACGACGUUAUUUUAGGUAUGGAUUGGCUCUCGAAGUAUUACGCCACGAUCGAUUGUAAGAAUAAAUUGAUCACUUUUCGGGAGCCCGGACAGAAGGAGUUCGUUUAUCAAGCUUGUCGGAGUUCUUGCUUCGUCGCGACAGUAUCGGCGACGAGAGCUAGGAAGUUGGUCAGCGGCGGUUGCGCGGCAUUUUUGGCGACCGUCGUGGAGGUGGACCGGGUGGUGCCGAAAUUAGAAGAUUUAUCGGUGGUGCGGGAAUUUCCGGAUGUGUUUCCCACGGAGUUAUCGGGGAUGCCGCCGGAUCGGGAGAUCGAGUUCGUUAUAGACUUGAUUCCCGGGACGGCGCCGAUCUCAAAGGCCCCAUACCGCAUGGCGCCGGCAGAGUUAAGAGAAUUGAGGGAUCAGUUACAAGAUCUUCUCGACAAAGGGUUUAUCAGGCCGAGUGUAUCGCCGUGGGGAGCGCCGGUGUUGUUCGUGCGCAAGAAGGAUGGCUCGUUUCGACUCUGCGUGGAUUAUCGAGAGUUGAAUAAGGUCACAAUUAAGAAUAAGUACCCGUUACCCCGAAUUGAUGACUUGUUCGACCAAUUACAAGGGUCACGAGUGUACUCGAAGAUAGAUCUACAGUCCGGCUAUCAUCAGUUAAAGAUCAAGCCGGAGGAUAUUCAGAAGACCGCGUUUCGUACGCGUUAUGGACACUAUGAAUACACGGUUAUGCCUUUCGGGCUCACUAAUGCCCCGGCUGCAUUCAUGGACCUGAUGAACCGUGUGUUCAAGGCGUGCCUGGAUAGAUUCGUCGUGGUCUUCAUAGACGACAUCUUGGUCUAUUCGCGGAACGACGAGGAGCACGCGGAGCAUUUGCGGACGGUGCUUCAAAUCCUUCGGGAGGAGAAGCUAUUCGCAAAGCUAAAGAAAUGUGAUUUCUGGCUUCGAGAAGUUGCCUUCUUAGGGCAUGUAAUUUCCGAGGGUGGUGUUUCGGUUGACCCGAGGAAAGUCGAAGCGGUCGAGAAUUGGCCACGCCCGACGAAUGUCACGGAGGUCCGAAGCUUUGUGGGCUUAGCGGGCUAUUAUCGACGGUUCGUGGAAGGCUUUUCGAAGAUUGUAACUCCACUUACCGGUUUGACUCAGAAGGGCGUCAAGUUCAUUUGGAGCGACGAGUGUGAUCGAAGCUUCAACGAGUUGAAGAAAAGAUUGACGUCGGCUCCAAUACUCGCCUUACCGGUGCAGGGCGAGGACUUUGUGGUUUAUAGCGACGCAUCCUAUCUGGGCUUGGGGUGUGUCCUGAUGCAAGGCGGGAGGGUGAUAGCUUAUGCAUCCCGUCAGCUGAAGGACCACGAGAAGAAUUACCCCAUCCAUGACUUGGAGUUGGCGGCGGUGAUCUUUGCGCUGAAGUUGUGGAGGCACUACCUAUACGGUGCACACUGCGAGAUCUACACCGACCACAAAAGUCUGAAGUACCUGUUUACCCAGAAGGAGCUGAAUAUGCGACAGAGGCGGUGGCUAGAGCUAUUAAAAGAUUAUGAUGUCGACAUUCUCUACCACCCCGGCAAGGCAAAUGUGGUCGCAGACGCACUUAGUAGGAAGUCGGCGAAGAACCUCGCCUUUGAUGUUACCCGGCAAACACCCCUAGGGCUGGAGAUGGAGCGGCUGGACCUUGAAGUGGUCGCUCCCGAGGUCCCGGCCCAGCUGAUGGCGCUCGUUAUCCAACCGACCUUAUUGGAGAGGAUCAGAAAUUUGCAACCUGCAGAUCCGAGUCUCCAAAAGGUGCGGCGCAAUAUCGAGGAAGGACGAGAUGGCGAUUUCAGUGUGGACGCCGGUGGUGCGCUCCGGUUUCGAAACCGGUGGUGCGUGCCGGAAAAUGAAGAACUUCGCGAGUUGAUCCUGCAAGAAGCUCACCGAUCUCCAUAUGCGGAUCACCCGGGCGGCACCAAAAUGUAUCAUGAGUUGAGGGCACUCUAUUGGUGGCCGGGGAUGAAGGCUGAUAUUGGGCGCUUCGUGGCGAAGUGCUUGACUUGUCAGCAAGUAAAGGCGGAGCGCCGGUUUCCAACGGGGAAGCUUCAAAGCUUACCUAUUCCCGUUUGGAAAUGGGAAGACAUAUCUAUGGAUUUCGUCGUUGGCUUACCUCGCUCGACAGGAGGACACGACGCAAUCUGGGUGAUCGUGGACCGCUUGACCAAGUCAGCACACUUUUUGCCGAUCCACACCACCUGGGCGGGAGAUAAGUUGGCGCAGGUAUAUCUUGAUGAGGUAGUGAGAUUACACGGGGUGCCGAAAUCGAUUGUGUCGGAUAGAGACCCCAAGUUUACUUCACAUUUCUGGAAAAGCCUGCAGGAGGCCCUUGGCACACGGCUCGAUUUCAGUACUGCAUUCCAUCCCCAGACAGACGGACAAACUGAAAGAACCAUUCAGACUCUGGAGGAUAUGUUGCGAGCGUGUGUCAUCGACUACAAAGGAGGCUGGUGUAAGUAUUUGCCAAUGGCCGAGUUCGCCUACAACAAUAGUUAUCACGCUAGUGUGGAGAUGGCACCGUUCGAAGCUCUUUAUGGGCGGAAGUGCCGCUCUCCUAUUUAUUGGAGUGACGUGGGCGAACGCGCGGAAUUUGGCCCCGAUGUGCUGCGGGAGGCGGAAGAAAAGGUCCGCCUUGCUCGCAAACGGUUACUCACGGCGCAAUCUCGACAACAGAGCUAUGCGGAUAGGCGCCGGCGAGAUCUAGAGUUUGCGGUGGGUGACCGCGUCUUCUUGAAGGUCUCGCCUAUGAGGGGUGUAAAGCGGUUUGGAGUGCGGGGAAAACUAAGUCCCCGAUACAUUGGCCCCUAUGAGAUCUUGGAGCGGAUUGGGACGGUGGCUUAUCGGCUCGCGUUGCCGCCAAAGCUUGCGGAUGUGCACAACGUAUUCCACGUCUCCAAUCUUCGCAAAUACGUUCCCGAUCCCGAGCAUGUAAUGCUAUAUGAGCCGCCGGAACUUCAGGAGGAUCUGAGCUACGAGGAAUUCCCGGUGGCAAUUACCGCUCGUGAAGUGCGCAAGUUAAGGAGUCGAGAGAUUCCUUAUGUCCGAGUCCGGUGGAGCAAUCAUGAUGAUCGCGAAGCCACCUGGGAGCUCGAGGAGGAGAUGAAGGCGAAUCAUCCUCGCCUGUUUGAAGGCUAAAUUGAGGUAUGAAUUUAGAAUUUGAAAUUCUAAUCAAGUUUUGGAGUAUUGAGUUCGUUUCGAGGACGAAACUCUUUUAAGGUGGGAAGGAUGUAAGGAAGUGAAUUCUCGAAACUCGAGGAUUAGACUUCGACCAGAAUCGACUAUUCGUCGAGUGCGUAGGCUUCGGAAAGCCCGAAGGCGAUUAUAAUGCAUAAAGUGCAUUAAAGAAGGGUCCGCGGGAGCACCAGUGCAAAAUCUGCACUGGAGCAGAAAUGCUCUCGGGGACCGGUCCCUGGCAGGGAGGGACCGGUUCCAUCAGGCUGGGUUGCGGAGGUCUCUGAUGAGACCGGUCCCUGGUGGGCAGGGACCGGUUCCCGAACGUUGGCCCGACGAGAUUUAGCCAAAUUUGGCUAAGUCCCGAGAAUGCAGCUCUCGGGAACCGGUCUCUCGGACAAGGACCGGUCUCCCGGGGACCGGUCUCUCAGGCAAGGACCGGUUCCCGAACGCGAAAAUCCCUCUGCUCGAAAUGGCAGCCUUCGGGGACCGGUCCCAAGUCGGGGAGACCGGUCCCUCCGCGCGAAAACUGCCCAGUGAGGGUAGUGCACUAGGGUGAAAGUUGAGGGGCUUUUAUGCAAAAUGGCCUUUAUUAGAGGUGGGGGACCCCUCUCUCUCACUCUCAGCUGCUUUCUCUCUCUCUCUUACCCUCUUUUCUCUCUCUCUCUAAGAAAGAAAAGAAAAGAAAGAGAAGAAGGAGAAGAAGAAGAGGAAGGAGAAGAAGAAGAGAAAGAAGAAGAAAGAGAAAGAGAAGACUAAGAAGAAGAAGAAGAAGAAGAUAUCUUCUUCUCUCCCUCUCCCUCAAGCUUGAAGGAACCUUGUGUAGGGGUAAGCUCUAAACCCUUUAAUGGUGUUUCUAGGGUUUUGGGGUUUUUAUGGUUUGAAUGGGACCUAAUGGAACUAGGGAGAAGGUUCGAGCUCGCAAUUGAAGCUCGCACCACGGAUUUCUUCCCCGUUGCCAUCCUAGGGCACGGAAUUGGGUUUUUGGUAAAUCUAGGGUUUUGAUCUAAUCUAAUAGGUCGCAAACCUAAUUGCUAGGUCCCGGAACGCGUCGGCGAAGUCGGUUUCUCGAUCCGACGAGCGGGUGCGGAGAAAUCGCCGAAUCGGGUACUCGAGGGCUCGCUUCGCCCCGAGGAGUUGAAGCGGCGUACAAGAACCCCAACGUCGAGUUUUCUACUAUCACGGCAUCGCCAAGAGGUGGGUGGUGUCCAUCCCGAAGCAAUCGGGCUCCCUCCUAUGUCUUAGUAUAUUUGAUCUUGCAUCUUGUAUUAUUGCAUUAUAGGAUUAGUAUGCAUUGCCUUUCCUUAUGUUUUUCCUUCAUGGUAUCGUAGCGUACAUCGGAUAAUUGAUAUAUUGGAUUGAUAAGGAUUGGGUCGAGAUUGUGAAUCCUAUGAUGUAGAGAAAAUGAUGAACUAUGAACGAGUGGCAUCUAGUUAAUAGUAAACUAUGAACGAGUGGCAUCUAGUCGAUAGCGGACAAACGGACAAUCUAGUUAAUAGUGUAUGCGACACCUAUGGACUAUAUGAUGAUUGUGACUCUAGAGGACAGGGUAUCCUCGAGCUUAGAGGAUUGGAUCAUGCUCACGGUCUGUUAAAUCUUGUGAUGGAAGCCCCACACAAGUAGUGCGCUCCGGAUGUUGGUCACGCCAGGGAUUGCCUAUUUGGCCCCGCCAGACGGUCUCGGGUCCGUAGUGUGAGUUAAUUCUCCCUACGUGUCGAGAUGGCUAGUGAGCUGUAGGCGAGCCUUCGGGUAAGCCAUGAGAUUAAUGAACAAGUAAAUGAGGUUAAUGAACGAGUGAAUAGCUUCACCCUUGGACAUGAUAACAGAUUAGUUGCUUACCUAUUUCAUUGGACAUGCAUUCAUAUACUUAUGAUUGGGCAUGGUAGCGUAGCUUCAUUUCCGCCAUUUACAGCUUUCCUUAUCUAUCUACCUAUCUAUCGAUUGUCUACUUAUGCCCGCUUGGACCUAGUGGGGAGAUCGGCGGAGUCGGCGGCCGAACCCACUGGGAACUAAGGAAGUUAGUUCUCACCCCCAUUUUACCACAGGUUCCAGUUCGGGUGUCCCCGGUGAGCGUGAGGAUCGCGGUAAGGGCCCGGCGUUCUAGUCGCAUUAGCUACCUCCUCUUCUUGCAUUAGCCGUCACCCCUUUUGUAUUUGAGAGUAGAUGUUGUAUAGGGUGAGGGUUGAUUGCUUGUAUUUAUAUUUUGGAAGAAUGUAAAAGAUGUAUCUAAAUGUAGUAAAUCAAAUGAAUGUAAUAGAUAGUCUCUUCUCUCUUAUGUACUUGUAUAUGUUUCUAUACUUGUAUCUUGCUCUUGUUUAUAGCACUAGUGGUGCUUAUUGAUCGUGUAUUUAUGAAUUGAUUCCUGGGUAAAUUCUUAUGCACGAUCUGUUGGUUAGCCUUGGACGGACAGGGGAGGUCCUGUCCGUUCGGCGUCUGUUCGACGCGCCCGGGCCGGACCAAAUUGGUAGCGGUCGCGGGGCGUGACAGAUAAAGUGGUAUCAGAGCAAUUAAGAGCAAGUAAAGAGAGAGUCUAGGAUGACCUAGGAGACCCUAGGUUGGUGAACCCUAAGGUUAUAGGGACGUGAGUGAACGUGAACCCAUGGCGGUGGCGGAAGUUGAUUGAUUGGGUCGAAGUUGAUGGCACAUCUCUAGCUGUGAAUAGAGACGGAUACAAGUGACACUAGUUCUUGGCUUGUAGUGGUUGUGUCGGCGGCCGACGACGCAACGCUAAGAGUCCAACACUAGAGCACUUGCGAGCUUCCGCCCGAUUUUAUUGUUGAGUCGUUUAGUUUUGUGAACGUUGAGGAAGUUAUCGGAUUGAGAUAACUAACCGAGUUGUUGCUUUUCAGGAGCAAUGUCCCCAAGGCGUUAUGCGCGUAGGUCUGCUCCGGUACCGCCUUCUGCGGAGCCCGAGCAGCCAAGAUCGG
rnacentral:lncRNA from 1 species